UAGAACACCAAAGUGCAUCUCUAAUAAAGAACUCUGAGGCAAAUCCUUCCUUAAGAGGAAUCUCCAGAAUUUCUUCAUGUUGUCUGGUUCUUCCCCUUGCCCAGUAGUAGAGCAGACAAACACAACAAACGCUUGUUCAGAUAUGGGUGUGGUCUCCUUAAUUUUGUCUGCUACCCGUGUGACACAUAGAGAAAGUUAAUAGAACAUCCCGUAAUGGAGUCAUUAGUAUAUGAAAUCCCGCCAAACAACUAACGCAGGCCUACAACUGGCAACCGCCGAGCAGACAUAAAAUGCCUCCGCCUAUAUGGUGUAUCAACUACUGCGAUCUCGGGGAAUCGAGAAACGAUCGGGACAGCAAAAGAGAAGGAAGGGCAAAGUCUACACAUAGAUAGGUACAAAAGUGAGUUGGGCGCAUGGUCGAUGGUCCUGAAAAUCGAUAAGACUUGUCUGUAUAUGCUGUUCAUUGCAGGUUUUGCCUCUCUCUCUCGGAUGUGUGUCGAUGUAUAUUUACUACAGCUAUUUUAUUACUCUAUACUAGUAUCGUGCGAAAUAAAAUGGAUCCAAGGCCAUAGCGGUUCUUGAAUACUGUGUCGAUCACGGCACACUUCUUCGUCAAGGUGAGCGAGCUUGGCCGAUGAGGCGGACGCGCAGCAAUCGACCGAGGAACGAAAAUGACGCAAAUGUGUUGGUGGGAAAAACAGCGGCGCUUUCAACAAUAAGAAAUAAUUUAUACACAAAAACAAACUAGUUUUUUUUUUAAAUAGUUUUUUAAAAUAAUUGUCUUUUUUUCUUUUCUUACAAAAAAGCCGAAGGUGACUGUUCCAGUUAUUCCAGUUGUACGAGCACGGAUAUACAAAAUAUUAUGCAGAUGAGGCACUUCGUGAAAGAAAACAUACAAUUUCGUAACCGAAGGAUAUUUACUCAAAAAGAAAUUGGGCUUUGCUUCACCUGCCCCUGUUGUGUACGUUAUGCUACACAGUGCUGUGUAGCACGCAUUGAAAUCAACGAUUCGAUCCAGCUGCCUGUCGACACACACACGGUAGGCGGGUUUGCUGAUAUAGUAUGCUGGCGAUGACGAAGAAUUUUGGCAAGGAAACCCGUUUUUUUGGCACAUCGCUCUUGUUAUGUUUAGUUUUUACAAAAAAAGAUUUCUUUGGCGGUCUCUUCGGCUGCUUUUUGUUGUGUUAAUCUUUAAGAAGAAGAAACAAAACAAUUGAUGGUGGAACACGUUUAAGCGAAAACUUUCGCUUGUGUCGUUUGCAUACACGUGUAAGGCUUGUAUACAAUAACACGAUAAGACAAUU